rnacentral:misc_RNA from 1 species
GGCGCAUCAUAAAAAAUGAGCGUAGAACGAAAAUCGUUGUUUGUCAAUAUUAACAUAUUAUUUUUUGCAAAAAGUCGCGAGCUAGCAAAAACUUCACGCGCCGAAUUUGCCGUUGAAGGUGUCGUUAAAGCAAGAAAUUUACUAAAUCAAUUGAUAGAUAAAUUCAACUUGAGUUCAAUAAGUCAAAACUUGAUUCUAGCUCACAACGAAACCUACAUUGAAGAUCUAAACGCUGAGAUUAUAUUACAACAAGGAGACGAGAUUGCCGUAAUUCCACCAAUAAGUGGCGGAUAACCACCAAAAAUGGAUCACAUUCAAUUAGUUAACAGCCAAAUUGACAUCAAUCACAUUCAUAACCUGUUGAUCGAUGAGAGUUGCGGCGCUUCUUCGGUUUUUGUGGGAACAACACGUGACAACUUCGAUGGGAAAAAAGUUAUAUCCUUGGAAUACGAAUCGUAUGA